rnacentral:rRNA from 1 species
GACGAACGCUGGCGGCGUGCUUAACACAUGCAAGUCGAACGAUGAACCGGAGCUUGCUCCGGGGAUUAGUGGCGAACGGGUGAGUAACACGUGGGCAACCUGCCCCAGACACCGGGAUAACCUUCCGAAAGGAUGGCUAAUACCGGAUACGACCACUUCGGGCAUCCGACGGUGGUGGAAAGGAUUCUGGUCUGGGAUGGGCCCGCGGCCUAUCAGCUUGUUGGUGGGGUAAUGGCCUACCAAGGCGACGACGGGUAGCCGGCCUGAGAGGGCGACCGGCCACACUGGGACUGAGACACGGCCCAGACUCCUACGGGAGGCAGCAGUGGGGAAUAUUGCGCAAUGGGCGAAAGCCUGACGCAGCGACGCCGCGUGAGGGACGAAGGUCUUCGGAUUGUAAACCUCUUUCAGCAGGGACGAAGCGAAAGUGACUGUACCUGCAGAAGAAGCACCGGCUAACUACGUGCCAGCAGCCGCGGUAAU